rnacentral:rRNA from 1 species
UGGGGAAUUUUGGACAAUGGGCGCAAGCCUGAUCCAGCCAUGCCGCGUGAGUGAAGAAGGCCUUCGGGUUGUAAAGCUCUUUCGGACGGGAAGAAAUGGCGGGCUCUAACAUAGCCUGUCGAUGACGGUACCGUAAGAAGAAGCACCGGCUAACUACGUGCCAGCAGCCGCGGUAAUACGUAGGACCCGAGCGUUGUCCGGAUUUACUGGGUGUAAAGGGUGCGCAGGCGGAUGGGUAAGUCAGGGGUGAAAGUCUGCAGCUUAACUGUAGAAUUGCCUUUGAUACUGCUCAUCUUGAGUGUGGGAGAGGUUGAUGGAAUUCCAGGUGUAGCAGUGAAAUGCGUAGAUAUCUGGAAGAGCACCAGUGGCGAAGGCGGUCAACUGGCCCAUAACUGACGCUCAUGCACGAAAGCGUGGGGAGCAAACA